AAAACGACUCUCGGCAACGGAUAUCUCGGCUCUCGCAUCGAUGAAGAACGUAGCGAAAUGCGAUACUUGGUGUGAAUUGCAGAAUCCCGUGAACCAUCGAGUCUUUGAACGCAAGUUGCGCCCGAAGCCAUCCGGCCGAGGGCACGUCUGCCUGGGCGUCACGC
rnacentral:rRNA from 3 species